GUCCUAGCCGUAAACGAUGUCCACUAGGUGUCGGAGGUCCUACCCCUUCGGUGCCGCCGCUAACGCAUUAAGUGGACCACCUGGGGAGUACGAUCGCAAGGUUGAAACUCAAAGGAAUUGACGGGGGCCCGCACAAGCGGUGGAGCAUGUGGUUUAAUUCGAUGCAACGCGAAGAACCUUACCGGGGUUUGACAUCCAGAGGACAGGUGUAGAGAUACACCCUCCUUCGGGCCUCUGGACAGGUGCUGCAUGGCUGUCGU
rnacentral:rRNA from 1 species